UACAGAGGGUGCAAGCAUUAAUCGGAUUUAUUGGGCGUAAAGAGCUCGUAGGCGGCCAGUUGCGUCUGCUGUGAAAUCCCGGGGCUCAACCCCGGGCGUGCAGUGGAUACGGGCUGGCUAGAGGCAGGCAGGGGAGAACGGAAUUCCCGGUGUAGCGGUGAAAUGCGCAGAUAUCGGGAGGAACACCGGUGGCGAAGGCGGUUCUCUGGGCCUGUACUGACGCUGAGGAGCGAAAGCGUGGGGAGCGAACAGG
rnacentral:rRNA from 1 species